GACGAACGCUGGCGGCGUGCUUAACACAUGCAAGUCGAACGAAGUGGCGAACGGGUGAGUAACGCGUAAUCAACCUGCCCUUCAGAGGGGGACAACAGUUGGAAACGACUGCUAAUACCGACUACUGACGGAGGGGCUUGCGUCUGCUUAGCUAGGUGGAUGGGUAACGGCCCACAAAUGCGAUGAUCAGUAGAGUGUCUGAAGGGAUUACCGGACAAAUUGGGACUGCAAAACGGCCCAGACUGCUACGGGAGGCAGAAGUGGGGAGUCGUCCGUAAUGGACGAAAGUCUGAAGGAGCAACGCCGCGGGAGUGAUGACGGCCUUCGGGUUGUAAAGCGCUGUUAAUCGGGACGCGGUACCGGAAUAGAAAGCCACGGCUAACUACGUGCCAGCCGCCGCGGUAAUUC
rnacentral:rRNA from 1 species